AGGUUCGACGAAUGUAAUCCACUUUGAAGAUCGUCCACGGGAUAUAAUGUUUCUUUGAAGGUUAAACUUAAAGAGUCGAGGCAGCCUAUACAAUCUUUCAUGGCCCAUUUUGUCAGUAGUCACUGGCCUAGUCUAGAAAAGAAUAUCAGAGACAAACGAAACCGUGCCACAUCAAACUGAACUUCUGUGCAAGAACCGAACGAUGAACUAUUGAAAAUGAAAUGGAUGGUACACAAAAAAGACCUUGAACGUCUUGAAAUCAUGUAAACUAGAUACUAGAUCUAAGCAGAACGAAAAGGUAAACAAAACAGGUUGCUGCUACAGCACCAAUUUCUCAUCUUUCUGCACUCUGAAAGUAUGAGAAACUUACUGCUGGUCAACAGCAAUAACAGAGGCUAUAACCUGCAACUCGACCAACGUGUGCGUGCUGUCGAGAGAAUUUGGCGUCUUGUCGAAUCAAAUCAACAAUUUGGAUGUAUUCGUGCUCACUCCAGAUUUUAAAGGUGCAGCACGUUAUCAGGAUUAAGGAAGGAGUAGCCGCAGACCUACUUCAUGAAAGUUGUUUUGAAGUCGUCAACCUGCUUCUAUUUCAUCUGAUGUUUCUUGCAAGCAUUACCCGUUUCCAGUAUCAUUUCGGACCAUCUUAAUUCAGCAAACUUGUUAGUCACAUUCAUGGUAUCUUGAGUUUAAAGCAACAGAGACUCCUGAGGUUUUGAGAAGUGUUUGGGAAAACAUCAUACCUUUCAACAUCUGAUGCAUUGGGAGUCAGUUUCUUGAGAAGUAUGGCAUUAUAAUUUCCCAUCAGUUCCAGCCACAUAUUUUUCAGAGGUAAAUGAAUCAUGAAAUGUUAGUUGUAAACAUAGAAAGUGACAGCAGACUCAAAUGUUAGUAAAAACAAGGAAUUAUCUGGGUAA